UUUUUUUGAGCGGUAAGUCCGCUACAGGUUGUUUUAGGUGUUCCCCUCCGUAUGGUGGGCAAGAGCCUAAACGACACAAACUUGUAGGGCACGCUCAUUUU
rnacentral:sRNA from 12 species